rnacentral:rRNA from 1 species
AAAUGAAUAGACGGGGGCCCGCACAAGCGGAGGAACAUGUGGUUUAAUUCGAUGAUACGCGAGGAACCUUACCCGGGCUUGAAAUGCAGAAGACGAAGGAUGAAAGUUCUUUUCCAGCAAUGGCUUCUGUGUAGGUGCUGCAUGGUUGUCGUCAGCUCGUGCCGUGAGGUGUCGGCUUAAGUGCCAUAACGAGCGCAACCCUUAUCAUUAGUUACUAACAGGUUAAGCUGAGGACUCUAGUGAGACUGCCACCGUAAGGUGUGAGGAAGGUGGGGAUGACGUCAAAUCAGCACGGCCCUUACGUCCGGGGCGACACACGUGUUACAAUGGGGGGUACAGAGGGUUGCUACCUAGUGAUAGGAUGCUAAUCUCUAAAGCCUCUCUCAGUUCGGAUUGGAGUCUGCAACUCGACUCCAUGAAGCUGGAUUCGCUAGUAAUCGCGCAUCAGCCAUGGCGCGGUGAAUACGUUCCCGGGCCUUGUACACACCGCCCGU